rnacentral:rRNA from 1 species
GAUGAACGCUGGCGGCGUGCCUAAUACAUGCAAGUCGAGCGAACAGACGAGGAGCUUGCUCCUCUGACGUUAGCGGCGGACGGGUGAGUAACACGUGGAUAACCUACCUAUAAGACUGGGAUAACUUCGGGAAACCGGAGCUAAUACCGGAUAAUAUAUUGAACCGCAUGGUUCAAUAGUGAAAGACGGUUUUGCUGUCACUUAUAGAUGGAUCCGCGCCGCAUUAGCUAGUUGGUAAGUUAACGGCUUACCAAGGCAACGAUGCGUAGCCGACCUGAGAGGGUGAUCGGCCACACUGGAACUGAGACACGGUCCAGACUCCUACGGGAGGCAGCAGUAGGGAAUCUUCCGCAAUGGGCGAAAGCCUGACGGAGCAACGCCGCGUGAGUGAUGAAGGUCUUCGGAUCGUAAAACUCUGUUAUUAGGGAAGAACAAAUGUGUAAGUAACUAUGCACGUCUUGACGGUACCGAAUCAGAAAGCCACGGCUAACUACGUG